GAGUGUUACAGCUCUUUUAGAAAUUGUCUAGUAGGUUUUCUGGUCCUCACUGGAAGACUCUC
ensembl:snRNA U7 U7 small nuclear RNA